GGGAAAGCCGCCCUGCUAGCACUAGGUGAGCUGAGAGGACUUGGGCUGGUGCUGUGCUAGGAUAAGGGCACCAGCUCCGUUUCCUUUAUCCUUCUGUCUCUCCAAACGAUUUACCUGUGCAGUUACAAAGUGCAAGUUGGUUGCCUAAGGUUCUUCACGCUGAUUUCCUGUUCUUCUACACGCCUGUGAAAGCUCUUACUAAGAACAUCCAAGGGGUCAAGAAUAAUGCUACUGACCAGGCUGCUUUCCUGCCUCUUCCAAAUUGGAACUCCCAUCUCGAUCUGGAACAGCUGCAGGGAGAAACAUGCUGCUGGGCAUCACCAUUUCGGGGGUGGUCACCUGAGGAAACAGGGAGGGUCACAUGGAGAGAAAAAGCACAAACGGGAACGGUUUAAAAAUUAUUUAAUAAGCAAAAUUAGCCUUCACCAGUAUAAAGCUGAAGGUGUCACUUUUCAUAGCUCACUGAAGAUUCAUGUUUAUUAGACAAAGCUCACAUCAGUCAAAAGUGUUUCUACGGUUACAUUCUGGACAUAAUUAGCAGUGCACACUUGAAGAAUAAUCUUAUUAUUAAUAUUUUUCCUUUAUGCAGAAUUUUGACUUUGAUCACUGACAAUGUUUUGUCAUGGGCUGUGAAACUUCUUGUGCAACCAAUUAGGUAGAUAAGUUGAAAGGCCCACCUUAAGCUGCUGAAAACAUAAUAAGGGCCCUAAUUAAAUCAUACCUAGUAAAGUACACUGUAAUCUUGAAGCAGGGAGCAUUGUAGUACUGUUUUCAAAAUGUAUUCAGGCAAGAAGAGGAGGGAGUAAGAGUGAAGAAAAGGGUGAGAAGGAGCGAAGAGAACAAAGGGAAGGCUAAGGACACCCAGACACACUGGCGGAUUUUCCAGGAAACAACAUUUUGUAACCCUUUACAAACUGACUCACUCACUCAAGCCCAAAUUUCUUUUGGAGGCAGACACUAUCUGAGGGGACAUCUGGCCAGUGUUCCAGCCUCUGCAGGUGGCCUGCACAGCAUUCUACAACAGGGCUGCCCCACCUUGACCAUGAGCAUUGCUCUCUAAUAUAGCACAUUUGAAACUGGCCUGGACCCAGAAACCUACAAUUUUUAAGCCAGAUCCUCAGACCUAGAUCUCUAGGCCUCCCUGCCACCUGGUUAGAAGCCUGUCCAAACCAGAUGUCAUUUGCCCUGUGUUAAUGUGCUAAGCAGCCCUCAAUAGCCAAUGUAACAGUGAAAGGUUCUUUGUUUAAACAUACAGCAGCAGUCCCCGUACCUGCUAUGGGGUAGGCAGGUUAGUGAUGAUGAUAUUUCCAAAUGAAUUAGAAACUGUCUCCCAUUUGAUGACAGCCUGAGAAGGGAACUGACCUACAGGUUACAGGCACAGAAAAGUACAGUCCCCUUUAUUCUCUCUACAUGGCACCCAGCCCCAGCUGGAGGCAUUCUUUUCUCAGCACACUGCUUGGAAAUAGCAGAGAUUACAACACUUAGAUACUUGUUCAAAAUUAGUAUUUUUAAUAAAUGACUAUGAAUUUUUGAAUGGUUUGAAGAGCCGGUCCUUGUCCCU